rnacentral:rRNA from 1 species
UGAACGCUAGCGGCAGGCUUAACACAUGCAAGUCGAGGGGUAGUCUAGCAAUAGAUGAGACCGGCGCACGGGUGCGUAACGCGUAUGCAAUCUNCUUUUACAGAGGGAUAGCCCAGAGAAAUUUGGAUUAAUACCUCAUAGUAUAACGACUCGGCAUCGAGAUGUUAUUAAAGUUCCAACGGUAAAAGAUGAGCAUGCGUCCCAUUAGCUAGUUGGUGUGGUAACGGCACACCAAGGCAACGAUGGGUAGGGGUCCUGAGAGGGAGAUCCCCCACACUGGUACUGAGACACGGACCAGACUCCUACGGGAGGCAGCAGUGAGGAAUAUUGGCCAAUGGGGGCAACCCUGAACCAGCCAUGCCGCGUGCAGGAAGACGGCCCUAUGGGUUGUAAACUGCUUUUGUACCAGAGAAAACCCGAGUACGUGUACUCGGUUGAUAGUAUGGUAAGAAUAAGCAUCGGCUAACUUCGUGCCAGCAGCCGCGGUAAGACGAAGGAUGCAAGCGUUAUCCGGAUUCAUUGGGUUUAAAGGGUGCGUAGGCGGACUUGUAAGUCAGUGGUGAAAUCUCUCAGCUUAACUGAGAAACUGCCAUUGAUACUGCAGGUCUAGAGUAUAGAUGACGUUGGCGGAAUAUGACAUGUAGUGGUGAAAUACUUAGAUAUGUCAUAGAACACCGAUUGCGAAGGCAGCUAACGAAACUAUAACUGACGCUGAGGCACGAAAGUGCGGGGAUCAAACAGGAUUAGAUACCCUGGUAGUCCGCACCGUAAACGAUGAUUACUCGUUGUUGGCGAUAUGACAGUCAGCGACCAAGCGAAAGCGAUAAGUAAUCCACCUGGGGAGUACGCCGGCAACGGUGAA